AGAAAGAAAACCCAUCAGGAGGUUCCAACGUGAGAGAGAGAGAGAGAGAGAGAGAGAGAGAGAGAGAGAGAGAGAGAGAGAUCAGCCGGUGGAGAAGAAGAAGAAAGAAGGAAAGAAAGGAGGAAAUAGGUGACGAGUCGGUGAAUCAAGGAGCACCGAAACCAUAGUUGUACUUUCUUUUGGAGUACGAGUUUUGCAGGCGUUGUAGAUAUCCACUGCUGAUCGUCGUGGGGUUGUACACUCGCUUAGGGUAGCAUGUUGGGAAGGCUGGACUAGUUUUGGCAAAAUUUUGUAGAUAGGGAUGUAGUUGCAGCCUAUGUUCAUAUUUGGUUUAUUGUAUAGUUUAAUGCUUUCUUAAGACUUCCGCUGUGUUUGUAAGAACGUUAAGUUUUGCGUUAUCAAUAAAAUGGUUGUUGGUUAA